UACGUAGGGUCCAAGCGUUAAUCGGAAUUACUGGGCGUAAAGGGUGCGUAGGCGGUUCGUUAAGUCUGUCGUGAAAUCCCCGGGCUCAACCUGGGAAUGGCGAUGGAUACUGGCGAGCUAGAGUGUGUCAGAGGAUGGUGGAAUUCCCGGUGUAGCGGUGAAAUGCGUAGAGAUCGGGAGGAACAUCAGUGGCGAAGGCGGCCAUCUGGGACAACACUGACGCUGAAGCACGAAAGCGUGGGGAGCAAACAGG
rnacentral:rRNA from 1 species